rnacentral:rRNA from 1 species
GACGAACGCUGGCGGCGUGCUUAACACAUGCAAGUCGAGCGGAAAGGCCCUUCGGGGUACUCGAGCGGCGAACGGGUGAGUAACACGUGAGUAACCUGCCCCUGACUCUGGGAUAAGCCCGGGAAACUGGGUCUAAUACCGGAUACGACCGCCCCAGGCAUCUGGUGGUGGUGGAAAGUUUUUCGGUUGGGGAUGGACUCGCGGCCUAUCAGCUUGUUGGUGGGGUAAUGGCCUACCAAGGCGACGACGGGUAGCCGGCCUGAGAGGGCGACCGGCCACACUGGGACUGAGACACGGCCCAGACACCUACGGGUGGCUG